GACAGAGGGUGCAGACGUUGUUCGGAAUUACUGGGCGUAAAGCGCGUGUAGGCGGCUAUGCAAGUCGGGCGUGAAAUCCCUCGGCUCAACCGAGGAAGUGCACUCGAAACUGCGUAGCUAGAGUCUCGGAGAGGAAGGUGGAAUACUUGGUGUAGAGGUGAAAUUCGUAGAUAUCAAGUGGAACACCGGUGGCGAAGGCGGCCUUCUGGACGAUGACUGACGCUGAGACGCGAAAGCGUGGGGAGCAAACAGG
rnacentral:rRNA from 1 species